GUAAACUUCAUUUGGCAGCACAUAUACUAAAAUUGGAACGAUACAGAGAAGAUUAGCAUGGCCCCUGCACAAGGUAUGACAAGGGGGUGGGAAGAUGGCAUAAUGGUU